rnacentral:rRNA from 1 species
AUUGAACGCUGGCGGCAGGCCUAACACAUGCAAGUCGAACGGUAGCACAGAGAGCUUGCUCUUGGGUGACGAGUGGCGGACGGGUGAGUAAUGUCUGGGAAACUGCCCGAUGGAGGGGGAUAACUACUGGAAACGGUAGCUAAUACCGCAUAACGUCGCAAGACCAAAGUGGGGGACCUUCGGGCCUCACACCAUCGGAUGUGCCCAGAUGGGAUUAGCUAGUAGGUGGGGUAAUGGCUCACCUAGGCGACGAUCCCUAGCUGGUCUGAGAGGAUGACCAGCCACACUGGAACUGAGACACGGUCCAGACUCCUACGGGAGGCAGCAGUGGGGAAUAUUGCACAAUGGGCGCAAGCCUGAUGCAGCCAUGCCGCGUGUAUGAAGAAGGCCUUCGGGUUGUAAAGUACUUUCAGCGAGGAGGAAGGCAUUGUGGUUAAUAACCGCAGUGAUUGACGUUACUCGCAGAAGAAGCACCGGCUAACU